AUGAACGCUAGCGGCAGGCUUAACACAUGCAAGUCGAGGGGCAGCGGGGAGUAGCAAUACUCCGCCGGCGACCGGCGCACGGGUGCGUAACGCGUAUGCAACCUACCUUUAACAGGGGCAUAACACUGAGAAAUUGGUACUAAUUCCCCAUAACAUUCGAGAAGGCAUCUUCUUGGGUUAAAAACUCCGGUGGUUAAAGAUGGGCAUGCGUUGUAUUAGCUAGUUGGUGAGGUAACGGCUCACCAAGGCAACGAUACAUAGGGGGACUGAGAGGUUAACCCCCCACAUUGGUACUGAGACACGGACCAAACUCCUACGGGAGGCAGCAGUGAGGAAUAUUGGUCAAUGGACGCAAGUCUGAACCAGCCAUGCCGCGUGCAGGAAGACGGCUCUAUGAGUUGUAAACUGCUUUUGUACUAGGGUAAACGCUUCUACGUGUAGGAGCCUGAAAGUAUAGUACGAAUAAGGAUCGGCUAACUCCGUGCCAGCAGCCGCGGUAAUACGGAGGAUCCAAGCGUUAUCCGGAUUUAUUGGGUUUAAAGGGUGCGUAGGCGGUUUGAUAAGUUAGAGGUGAAAUACCGGGGCUCAACUCCGGAACUGCCUCUAAUACUGUUGAACUAGAGAGUAGUUGCGGUAGGCGGAAUGUAUGGUGUAGCGGUGAAAUGCUUAGAGAUCAUACAGAACACCGAUUGCGAAGGCAGCUUACCAAACUAUAUCUGACGUUGAGGCACGAAAGCGUGGGGAGCAAACAGGAUUAGAUACCCUGGUAGUCCACGCAGUAAACGAUGAUAACUCGUUGUCGGCGAUACACAGUCGGUGACUAAGCGAAAGCGAUAAGUUAUCCACCUGGGGAGUACGUUCGCAAGAAUGAAACUCAAAGGAAUUGACGGGGGCCCGCACAAGCGGAGGAACAUGUGGUUUAAUUCGAUGAUACGCGAGGAACCUUACCCGGGCUUGAAAGUUAGUGACGAUUCUGGAAACAGGAUUUCCCUUCGGGGCACGAAACUAGGUGCUGCAUGGUUGUCGUCAGCUCGUGCCGUGAGGUGUCGGGUUAAGUCCCAUAACGAGCGCAACCCCUACCGUUAGUUGCCAUCAGGUCAAGCUGGGCACUCUGGCGGGACUGCCGGUGUAAGCCGAGAGGAAGGUGGGGAUGACGUCAAAUCAGCACGGCCCUUACGUCCGGGGCUACACACGUGUUACAAUGGGGGGUACAGAAGGCAGCUACCUGGCGACAGGAUGCUAAUCCCAAAAACCUCUCUCAGUUCGGAUCGAAGUCUGCAACCCGACUUCGUGAAGCUGGAUUCGCUAGUAAUCGCGCAUCAGCCAUGGCGCGGUGAAUACGUUCCCGGGCCUUGUACACACCGCCCGUCACACCAUGAGAGUCGGUAACACCCGAAGCCGGUGGCCUAACCGCAAGGAAGGAGCUGUCUAAGGUGGGACUGAUGAUUGGGGUG
rnacentral:rRNA from 1 species